rnacentral:lncRNA from 1 species
GCGAUGGAAAGAACUACAGCUCUGUGAAAGGCGCUCGAGUGCCAAUGCCAGUUUAUUUGUCUUUUGAGGCUAAACGCAGUGUUGAUGUUCUAAUUGUGUGCAAUUUAACACUACUCACAGAUUCCCAGCUUCACACAAGGUUAGAGCCUCACAAUUUUUAAGCAAGGUGGACAAAGCCAGUCCUCCAACCGCCCUUCUGCUUUCCAAGCUAUCCUGUCCCAUCUGCGCCUGGUUGCACAAAUCGAGUGUUUGUUAGAUCCGAAACCCAAAUCCGAUCAAACCAACAAACAGCAAGUAAAAGCUGACCCGUUCUCUGCAAAAGCAUGUCAUCAUGUUGACAUGUGUCAAAGUUUUAGAUCUGUAGAAUGAGCAGAGGAAAUUUGACCUCCAAGCUCCAUGGAAAUGCUAAAAAAAAAACUAAACAUAGUAUCAUGGUUUUAUGAAAUUUAAAAGAAAAAGCUAAAUGUUCUAUACAAAGUCACAGAGCUGCACAAAAACUCCAUAACCUUCAAGGGGCCCUACCAUGAAAAAUCAACUUUUUGUGCAUUAUUCUGUUCAAUCCUCAUUUUAAAGAACCUCAAAGCAGUAUUUUGAUCCAUUCGUGCAUUUCUGAUUAAUCCUCUCAAAACUUUGCUCUCAACAGGAAGCCCCUAACAUGCCCAUGUAAACAAGCGGGUCGUCCCGAUCUGAUGUCACAGAGUGAGACCGCCCCUUUCAGGAAGAGUCUGCUCUGACAGCCCCGCCCUCAGUCUAACACCAACACCCAAUUUCUUCCUUUAAGACACCCGACCCACCCCCCAGUCCGCAGUCGCACAGAUGUGAACCAGUGUAGUGAUGGCCGGGACUACUAAAGGCAAAUCCUCCAAAAAGGUCUGUGCAGAGGAGCUGGGAAACCUGCCGAGUGAUCGUCCUUUAAGACCCUCACAGCAAACCGUGCAAAGAUUGUACUUCCAUCUCUGCAGGCACAAUCCUGACCUUUCACCUUGACUGACAAAAUGACUUCUCUGUAAUUUAACAUUGUUUGUAGAAGCUAAGCAGAAGGAUGAUCAGAGCCUCUGAACCAAGAGCCUAAAACCAGCUUAUUGCUUUAGCUCAUUGCUUGUUAACAGAACAAUCAAUUCAAGACUUGUUGGUGUGUGUUGCCUCUCCGUUUCCCUUCAUGAAUCUCAUUGGUUCUGAUUGUCUGUUGGUUAUGGAAAUGUUUGGUUGAAUUUCUGAUUAUGAAACUGAAUUAUUCUAAAAGCCAAAGAAGGAGAACAGAGCUUGAAAUUCCCUCCUUUUCCUCCCUUCGUUAAUCAGGUUCAUCAACUCAUACAAAGCAAUCGUAUUGAAUCUCACUGUUUUUGUAAAAAAAAAUAAACACUG